CCUACGGGAGGCAGCAGUGGGGAAUAUUGCACAAUGGGGGGAACCCUGAUGCAGCGACGCCGCGUGAGUGAAGAAGUAUUUCGGUAUGUAAAGCUCUAUCAGCAGGGAAGAAAAUGACGGUACCUGACUAAGAAGCCCCGGCUAACUACGUGCCAGCAGCCGCGGUAAUACGUAGGGGGCAAGCGUUAUCCGGAUUUACUGGGUGUAAAGGGAGCGCAGACGGCUGUGCAAGUCUGGAGUGAAAGGCGGGGGCCCAACCCCCGGACUGCUCUGGAAACUGUAAAGCUGGAGUGCAGGAGAGGUAAGCGGAAUUCCUAGUGUAGCGGUGAAAUGCUUAGAUAUCAUGAAGAACUCCGAUCGCGAAGGCAAGUGUCCGGGGUGCAACUGACGCUGAGGCUCGAAAGUGCGGGUAUCAAACAGGAUUAGAUACCCGUGUAGUC
rnacentral:rRNA from 1 species